UGGACGUAAAAUCCAUAAUGGUGCUUGGUCGUCAGGGAAUAUCCUAUUCAAUCCAAUCCAGUUUCCCGAAAAUAUCGGCGCCCAGUGUAUACAGAUAAUUUAUAUCUUGGAUAGCCUGGAUUAAUAGCGAACUGUAUUUUGCCUCGUGAUUGGCACGAGUGCAAUUCUGAAGGUGAUUUUCAGGCAUGGGAGAAGAAAUGCAGGAUGCAGCCAAGAGUCAUUUUACUAAAGAGAAGAACAUCAAAGGAAAAAGGUCCAUAAAAUCAUAAGGUUCCGUUAGGCGUGGGGUAACCUGCAUUGAUGAUUCGUCUGCAACGUUCCAGACUGGCAAGGUUCCAGGACAUAACGGGACGUAUGCUCCGGGGCCCUCUACCAUCUCGCUCAUGAUCAGAGCCGACAAUUAAGGCAUAAUGGUUUCAAAUUUCCAAAGAUUGCAAUUCAGAAUUUGUAUGAGUACAACACAACAGCGUCUACAGCCCGAGAGAAAAGUUCACGGCACUGCGCUUUUCUUCAUCGGAGCGGUCCCCUGCCAGCUACCAGCAAAAGAUCGAAUAAGAAACGGGUCUAUCUCUCAGUAUGUGCGUCCGCUCUUGUUUGAUGCUAGGGUGUCACUCCAAUGGAGAAAUGUGACACCAUGGUGGUCCGUAAAGAUUUGUACCAAGCUGUACAUUGUACAACCCCGACAACUAACAAACACUGCUCGGUAAGGUCAGUGUUCCAAUUUGAGAUUUUGCUGCCUAUUUCUUCCCAUAAGGCUGCUCUUGCAGAAACGCAUUAGAAAGUCAUUUGGGUGAACUCCGGUGUACCAAGACAAGUGCAGAACAAAAAAAUUUAUAGUUAGACUUUGAAGGCAGUAAUCAACAUAAAUAAGUUUUACCUCUGAGCAAUGAUUGCCCAUUCAAGGCAACAACAAACUCAUAGGUUCACCACAUCAUCUAAACUUCCUCUGUCUGUUACAGCUUGUUUCUGUCCACAACGACAUCUUUAAGGUGCAUAUCCUGUGCCAUGCAACCAGAGGAGUGGUUACAUGAACUAUCAUUCAUCGAGCAUUUGUGAGGAGAUUGUUAGAGGAAUCAGUCAGACAGAUGCGUUUCAGAUGUUUUUUUUUUUUUUUCAGUUUUCAGGUUUUGAUUGUUAUUCCAUGACAGUAUACACUGAUUACUGAUAACAAGACUGAGAGGGCAAGCCCUGUUGAACAGUCCAAGACACAGUCAAUGCAAAUGUCUACACAAUUUGAGGGGAACAGAAAUACCAAGAACACAUGACAAGUAUAAGAAACAAAUAGCAAAGAUAUUGCACAGCAGAGAAAUGCACAUAAUCAAAAAGUAAUUGCAUGUCACCCUACGUAUCAGCAGAAAAGUCCUGUUUGAUGGUGUUUUUGAAGGAUGCCAGAUUAUUGUUGGAAUGAAUGUGUAGAGCAGUGUUGCUCAAACUGUGGGUCAUGACCCCCAAAUGGGUCAUGAGCUGUUGAAAGAUUCAUUGUUUCACGCCCAACCAGAGGCGUAAAGCUCAAUUCAUGUUCAAAGCAUUAAUGGACUGUCAUGUGUUGUCACAUGACAGUGCUGCAUUCAUCAGUAAAUGAUGUAGAUGUGAAGGUCCUUAAGCAUGAAUUCAACAGAUCCUCUGGCUGGGUGUAUUUCCUGCUGCUUGGCACACUCUUGGAACCUGGUUGAAAAGCUGCUUCUGAAGACUGCCCUGCUGCUAUGGCUUUCUUCACAUCAUCUGUGCAUCAAUAUUCGAACAGAUUGGGACAAAAGUUUAUGGGGUGUUGCAUUUCUUCAUGGGAGUGACACCCUAGCAGCAAACAGGAGCGGCCACACACACUGAGAGGUGCACAGAACAGCCAGUCCAGUCACCUGUUUCUUAUUCAAUAUCUUCCUGCUAGCCAGCAGGGGGCCGCUCCGAUGAGGUGCAAGGCAACAGGCUCAUUGAUAUGGUGUCCAGCUGGAAUUUGUGGUAUUUUGGAACGAUGUAUUGCUAACGACACUAGUAAAAAUACCCAAAACUGGACUGAGUGUUCGGCUCACUGAGGUUACCGAAGAGCUACGUUUCCUUGAGGUGUGAAACAAAGCAUGAUAAAAUGAAUCAACCAAGUUGUGUGAUCUAGCUGGCCAAUACUGAGUAGAUUUGCAAUAUAGAUUUGCAAUAUCUUGAGGACUUUUGCCUCUCUUGUAACAAAUGCUAAAUAAAUGCAAUCAAGCA